rnacentral:tmRNA from 1 species
GGGGGCGACUUGGCUUCGACGGGUGGUUGAAGGUGAGCGCUGCGUGUCGAGGCUGUCAGCCACCUCGUAAAACUGCUGGCACAGUUGGUAACUUAUAAUUGCCGACGAUAACUACGCACUCGCUGCCUAGCUAAACCCUAGGACAGCGGCUCUCGUCCGUGACGUCUUCUAGCGGGUCGCGGGAGUCAUUUGAAGGCUGGUCCCCGGCCGCUGACAGGCCGCAUCCGGGGACGAGACAAAUGUCUGUCUGGGCGCACUUUCUCCCGGCCUUGUGACUGGGUGCGCCGAGAUUGAGCGAGGCCUACACACGUAGAUGCGUUUGCUGGAACCCAUGCGGACGCGGGUUCGAUUCCCGCCGCCUCCACCA